rnacentral:rRNA from 1 species
UACAGAGGUCUCAAGCGUUUGUUCGGAUUCAUUGGGCGUAAAGGGUGUGUAGGUGGCGCCGUAAGUCGGGGUGUGAAAUUUCGGAGCUUAACUCCGAAACUGCAUUCGAUACUGCGGUGCUUGAGGACUGGAGAGGAGACUGGAAUUCAUGGUGUAGCAGUGAAAUGCGUAGAGAUCAUGAGGAAGACCAGUGGCGAAAGGCGGGUCUCUGGACAGUUCCUGACACUGAGACACGAAGGCCAGGGGAGCAAACGGG